rnacentral:rRNA from 1 species
AAAGAUUUAUCGCCGAAAGAACGGCCCGCGGAAGAUUAGGUUGUUGGCGGGGUAACGGCCCACCAAGCCUUCGAUGGAUAGGGGUUCUGAGAGGAAGGUCCCCCACAUUGGAACUGAGACACGGUCCAAACUCCUACGGGAGGCAGCAGUGAGGAAUAUUGGUCAAUGGACGAGAGUCUGAACCAGCCAAGUAGCGUGAAGGAUGACUGCCCUAUGGGUUGUAAACUUCUUUUAUACGGGAAUAAAGUGAGGCACGUGUGCCUUUUUGUAUGUACCGUAUGAAUAAGGAUCGGCUAACUCCGUGCCAGCAGCCGCGGUAAUACGGAGGAUCCGAGCGUUAUCCGGAUUUACUGGGUUUAAAGGGAGCGUAGGCGGACGCUUAAGUCAGUUGUGAAAGUUUGCGGCUCAACCGUAAAAUUGCAGUUGAUACUGGGUGUCUUGAGUACAGUAGAGGCAGGCGGAAUUCGUGGUGUAGCGGUGAAAUGCUUAGAUAUCACGAAGAACUCCGAUUGCGAAGGCAGCUUGCUGGACUGUAACUGACGCUGAUGCUCGAAAGUGUGGGUAUCAAACAGGAUUAGAUACCCUGGUAGUCCACACAGUAAACGAUGAAUACUCGCUGUUUGCGAUAUACAGUAAGCGGCCAAGCGAAAGCGUUAAGUAUUCCACCUGGGGAGUACGCCGGCAACGGUGAAACUCAAAGGAAUUGACGGGGGCCCGCACAAGCGGAGGAACAUGUGGUUUAAUUCGAAGCAACGCGAAGAACCUUACCAGGUCUUGACAUCCGAUGCAUAACACAGAGAUGUGUGAAAUCCUUCGGGACAUCGAGACAGGUGGUGCAUGGUUGUCGUCAGCUCGUGUCGUGAGAUGUUGGGUUAAGUCCCGCAACGAGCGCAACCCUUAUUGCCAGUUACUACGUUAAGAGGACUCUGGCGAGACUGCCGUUGACAAAACGGAGGAAGGUGGGGAUGACGUCAAAUCAUCAUGCCCUUUAUGACCUGGGCUACACACGUACUACAAUGGCGUUAAACAAAGAGAAGCAAGACCGCGAGGUGGAGCAAAACUCAAAAACAACGUCUCAGUUCAGAUUGCAGGCUGCAACUCGCCUGCAUGAAGUCGGAAUUGCUAGUAAUCGCGGAUCAGCAUGCCGCGGUGAAUACGUUCCCGGGCCU